UACAGAGGGGCUAGCGUUGUUCGGAAUUACUGGGCGUAAAGGGCGCGUAGGCGGUCCUGAUCGUCGGAUGUGAAAGGCCUGGGCUCAACCUGGGAAUGGCAUCCGAUACGGCGGGACUGGAGUGUGGGAGAGGUUGGUGGAAUUCCCAGUGUAGAGGUGAAAUUCGUAGAUAUUGGGAAGAACACCGGUGGCGAAGGCGGCCAACUGGACCACAACUGACGCUGAGGCGCGAAAGCGUGGGGAGCAAACAGG
rnacentral:rRNA from 1 species